rnacentral:rRNA from 1 species
GAGUUUGAUUCUGGCUCAGGAUGAACGCUGGCGGCGUGCCUAACACAUGCAAGUCGAACGGAGAACUUAAGUGGAAGUUUUCGGAUGGAAACUUUUGUUCUUAGUGGCGGACGGGUGAGUAACGCGUGGGCAACCUGCCUCAUACAGGGGGACAACAGACGGAAACGUCUGCUAAGACCGCAUACGUCUUUUCGGUCGCAUGACUGAGAAGGGAAAAGAGCAAUCUGGUAUGAGAUGGGCCCGCGUCUGAUUAGCUAGUUGGUAAGGUAACGGCUUACCAAGGCAACGAUCAGUAGCCGGACUGAGAGGUCGGACGGCCACAUUGGGACUGAGACACGGCCCAAACUCCUACGGGAGGCAGCAGUGGGGGAUAUUGCACAAUGGAGGAAACUCUGAUGCAGCGACGCCGCGUGAGUGAAGAAGUAUUUCGGUAUGUAAAAGCU